GACUGGAUGGCUCAGUCGGUUAAGCAUCAGACUUCGGCUCAGAUCAUGAUCUCCCCGUUCGUGGGUUUGAGCCCCAUGUCGGUCU
rnacentral:tRNA from 1 species